ACAAGCAGUGGAGUAUGUGGUUUAAUUCGAAGCAACGCGAAGAACCUUACUAGGGCUUGACAUCCCUUGAAGCAGCUAGAGAUAGCUGUGUCCUUCGGGACAAGGAGACAGGUGGUGCAUGGUUGUCGUCAGCUCGUGUCGUGAGAUGUUGGGUUAAGUCCCGCAACGAGCGCAACCCCUGUGGUUAGUUGCCAGCAAGUAGCGUUGGGCACUCUAGCCAGACUGCCGGUGAUAAAUCGGAGGAAGGUGGGGACGACGUCAAAUCAUCAUGCCCUUUAUGUCCUGGGCUACACACGUACUACAAUGGCCGUUACAACGGGAAGCGAAGGAGCAAUCCGGAGCAAAUCCCUUAAAGGCGGUCCCAGUUCAGAUUGUGGGCUGAAACUCGCCCACAUGAAGGCGGAAUUGCUAGUAAUUGCAGAUCAGCAUGCUGCAGUGAAUACGUUCCCGGGCCUU
rnacentral:rRNA from 1 species